GUCCUCCGCCUCCCCGUCGUCAUCGUCCUCCUCCUCCUCUUCCUCGGAGCCUGCCGCCGCCGGAGGGGGCGGCGAGGGUGGCGGCGACUGGUCGCCUCCAGAUGGCAUGGCGCACCCUUGGGCGGCCAGUCCUCAGACUCGAAUCUCUUUAUUUCCAGUCCUCUUUGGUUUAUAAAUGAAUAUAGUGUACAUUUUCAUGCUUGAGGAGCCUGACAGCAAUGUGAACUGAGGAAAAGAAAUACUGGUGCAAAAACCCGUUUCAGGAAACUUGAGCAGGAUGCCGGCGGAGAGGAGGAUCUGGGGAAAGAUAACAGGACGCUCGGGGACAAUUCUUGGAUAUGCUUUCUCAGUGUUGAGAUAAGGUGAUCAAAGGCAAGAACAGAGGUCAAAUACAACUGCUUUAUAAGCAUUUCUAAGUUCAUAAGAAAUUCUAGUAGUUUCCUUAUAUUUAGGCUGGGGAUACUAAAUUUUAGAAAAAUGAUAUUGCUUAUUUUGGACACCAGCAACACAGUUUUACUAGAACAAAAAUUAGAUUUGUUUAGAGGUAAGAUUUGUUUACCAUUUUCAGUCAAGUUUAAUGUAAUUGAAAUAAAAUUUAUGGUAAUAAACCAUCAAA